CGACGUGGAUAACCUGCCUCACACUGGGGGAUAACAGUUAGAAAUGACUGCUAAUACCGCAUAAGCGCACAGUGCCGCAUGGCAGUGUGUGAAAAACUCCGGUGGUGUGAGAUGGAUCCGCGUCUGAUUAGCCAGUUGGCGGGGUAACGGCCCACCAAAGCGACGAUCAGUAGCCGACCUGAGAGGGUGACCGGCCACAUUGGGACUGAGACACGGCCCAG
rnacentral:rRNA from 1 species